CGGUGGAGCAUGUGGUUUCAUUCGACGCAACGCGAAGAACCUUACCUGGUUGGAACCCUCCAGAAGUCCGCAGAGACGGAUUCCCGGCUGGUCCAGGUGUGACGAGCGCAACCCUUGUCGUUAGUUGCCAGCGGGAUGUCAAGUCUCAUGGCCCUUAUGCCCAGGCUACAUACAUGACCGGUACAAGGGUUGCUAACCCGCGAGGGUACGCUUCCCAAAAAACCGGCCUCAGUUCAGAUUGAGGUGCAACUCGACUUCAUGAAGUCGGAAUCGCUAGUAAUCCUGAUCAGCAGGCAGGGGUGAAUACGUUCCCGGGCCUUGUACACACCGCCGUCACACCAUGGGAGUUAAUUGCUCCAGAAAUGGCUGCGCUAACCCGCAAGGGGGGCAGGUCCUUAAGAGUGAUUGGUAACUGGGGUGAAGUCGUACAAGGU
rnacentral:rRNA from 1 species